CUACAAUGUAAGUAAUUCUGGUCCAGGUGUCCCAAUCAUGUAGACGGGCCAGAGGCACUGGAUCACGGAAAUAUGUGCCCACAUGUUUAGAGAAAAUUGCUUUGUUACUUGGCAGGAAUCAAUAAGAAAAGCUGGAAUAUUCUUUUUUCUCACAGCUAUGUCAUUUCUAUAUUGCCUGACCUAAAGGAAAAGAAAAAAAGGGCCAAUGUCUUCAUUACAAGAUAGACUCCUGAGAAUGCUUAUUCCAGCAAAGAAGAAGAUCUUCCGAAAAAACAAGGAUUACUCAAAGUUAUUGAGAAGAAAUACAGGUUCUGGUGGACAAUUUCCAGUCUGGUAUCUGCAUUUGGAGAGAUUCUACAGCACAUGCAUGAAUGGUAAUAAUCUUUUAUUACAAAGUGGUUUCCAAAAUGAUCAGAGAAAGCAAUAGAAUUCUAAUUUC
rnacentral:lncRNA from 1 species